GACGAACGCUGGCGGCGUGCCUAACACAUGCAAGUCGAACGGAGAGAUACGAGAGCUUGCUCUUGUAAAUUUUAGUGGCAAGCGGGUGAGUCACGCGUAAACACCCUGCACAACGGAUGGGGACCACAGACGGACACGACUGCUAACACCCAAUUGACUCCGAUUUCGCAUGACACCAACAGGAAAGGUUCUCUCUCGAACAAGCAACCGCCGCAGGACGGGUUUGCGUUUGAGUAGAUAGUUGGGCGUGUAACGGCCUAACAAGACGAAGAUCAAUAGCCGGUCUGAGAGGAGGGACCGGCACACUGGAACUGGGACACGGUCCAGACUCCUACGGGGGGGAGCAGUGGGGAAUCUUCCGCAAUGGAGGGAAGUCUGACGGAGCAACGCCGCGUGAGGGAAGAAGGCCUUCGGGUUGGAAAGCUCUGUUAUUCGGGAAGAACGAUUCGUUUGUGAAUAAUGAACGGAAGUGACGGUACCGAAAGAGAAAGCCACGGCUAACUACGUG
rnacentral:rRNA from 1 species